rnacentral:rRNA from 1 species
CCGAAUAGGGGAGCCGGAGGGAAACCGAGUCUUAAUUGGGCGUUAAGUUGCAGGGUAUAGACCCGAAACCCGGUGAUCUAGCCAUGGGCAGGUUGAAGGUUGGGUAACACUAACUGGAGGACCGAACCGACUAAUGUUGAAAAAUUAGCGGAUGACCUGUGGCUGGGGGUGAAAGGCCAAUCAAACCGGGAGAUAGCUGGUUCUCCCCGAAAGCUAUUUAGGUAGCGCCUCGUGAAUUCAUCUCCGGGGGUAGAGCACUGUUUCGGCUAGGGGGCCAUCCCGGCUUACCAACCCGAUGCAAACUGCGAAUACCGGAGAAUGUUAUCACGGGAGACACACGGCGGGUGCUAACGUCCGUCGUGAAGAGGGAAACAACCCAGACCGCCAGCUAAGGUCCCAAAGUCAUGGUUAAGUGGGAAACGAUGUGGGAAGGCCCAGACAGCCAGGAUGUUGGCUUAGAAGCAGCCAUCAUUUAAAGAAAGCGUAAUAGCUCACUGGUCGAGUCGGCCUGCGCGGAAGAUGUAACGGGGCUAAACCAUGCACCGAAGCUGCGGCAGCGAACGUAUCACCCAAGACAACUUUACGGAGUUGACGAUUGACGGAGCGAAGCGACGUCAAAGCGUUCAUUAAAGUCGAGUUGGCUUAGGGAUACGUUCGUUGGGUAGGGGAGCGUUCUGUAAGCCUGUGAAGGUGUGUCGUGAGGCAUGCUGGAGGUAUCAGAAGUGCGAAUGCUGACAUAAGUAACGAUAAAGCGGGUGAAAAGCCCGCUCGCCGGAAGACCAAGGGUUCCUGUCCAACGUUAAUCGGGGCAGGGUGAGUCGACCCCUAAGGCGAGGCCGAAAGGCGUAGUCGAUGGGAAACGGGUUAAUAUUCCCGUACUUGGUGUUACUGCGAAGGGGGGACGGAGAAGGCUAUGUUGGCCGGGCGACGGUUGUCCCGGUUUAAGCGUGUAGGUGUGUGUUCCAGGUAAAUCCGGUUCACUUUAACACUGAGGCGUGACGACGAGGCACUACGGUGCUGAAGCAACAAAUGCCCUGCUUCCAGGAAAAGCCUCUAAGCAUCAGGUAACACGAAAUCGUACCCCAAACCGACACAGGUGGUCAGGUAGAGAAUACCAAGGCGCUUGAGAGAACUCGGGUGAAGGAACUAGGCAAAAUGGUGCCGUAACUUCGGGAGAAGGCACGCUGACACGUAGGUGAAGUGAUUUACUCAUGGAGCUGAAGUCAGUCGAAGAUACCAGCUGGCUGCAACUGUUUAUUAAAAACACAGCACUGUGCAAACACGAAAGUGGACGUAUACGGUGUGACGCCUGCCCGGUGCCGGAAGGUUAAUUGAUGGGGUCAGCGUAAGCGAAGCUCCUGAUCGAAGCCCCGGUAAACGGCGGCCGUAACUAUAACGGUCCUAAGGUAGCGAAAUUCCUUGUCGGGUAAGUUCCGACCUGCACGAAUGGCGUAAUGAUGGCCAGGCUGUCUCCACCCGAGACUCAGUGAAAUUGAACUCGCUGUGAAGAUGCAGUGUACCCGCGGCAAGACGGAAAGACCCCGUGAACCUUUACUAUAGCUUGACACUGAACAUUGAGCCUUGAUGUGUAGGAUAGGUGGGAGGCUUUGAAGUGUGGACGCCAGUCUGCAUGGAGCCGACCUUGAAAUACCACCCUUUAAUGUUUGAUGUUCUAACGUGGACCCGUAAUCCGGGUUGCGGACAGUGUCUGGUGGGUAGUUUGACUGGGGCGGUCUCCUCCUAAAGAGUAACGGAGGAGCACGAAGGUUGGCUAAUCCUGGUCGGACAUCAGGAGGUUAGUGCAAUGGCAUAAGCCAGCUUGACUGCGAGCGUGACGGCGCGAGCAGGUGCGAAAGCAGGUCAUAGUGAUCCGGUGGUUCUGAAUGGAAGGGCCAUCGCUCAACGGAUAAAAGGUACUCCGGGGAUAACAGGCUGAUACCGCCCAAGAGUUCAUAUCGACGGCGGUGUUUGGCACCUCGAUGUCGGCUCAUCACAUCCUGGGGCUGAAGUAGGUCCCAAGGGUAUGGCUGUUCGCCAUUUAAAGUGGUACGCGAGCUGGGUUUAGAACGUCGUGAGACAGUUCGGUCCCUAUCUGCCGUGGGCGCUGGAGAACUGAGGGGGGCUGCUCCUAGUACGAGAGGACCGGAGUGGACGCAUCACUGGUGUUCGGGUUGUCAUGCCAAUGGCACUGCCCGGUAGCUAAAUGCGGAAGAGAUAAGUGCUGAAAGCAUCUAAGCACGAAACUUGCCCCGA